UGUCAUAUUCGCUCAUAUUCAAGGGAACUGUACUGUCCUACUUUGACAAAGGGAAGCAACUGACAGAAAGGAGUUUUCUUGUAAAUGAGGAAAACGUGUUUUUCUUUCAGCUCUCUGUGAUGGAAUUUCUUACUUCUCUGGUAUAAAUAUUUUCAAAUUGUACUCAGAGAAGACUUAUUUUGUUCACCAUUGUGUAGAGCAUAUCUCAAAUACCCUAAAACAAGCAAUAACUCAAUUUUGACAAAAUUGUCAGUUGCAUCCUUUUGUCAAAUUAGGGCAGUAUAAGCUAGAUAUAGC